rnacentral:sRNA from 1 species
AGACAUAUCAACUCCCGCAAACUUAGUCUAUGGGCUUAAAAGAUUAAUGAAUGCAAAGGGUAGAGUUAAGUUGUAGUAUUUUAGGUUGUCAAUCCAAAUGGGUGUGAUGCUAACAAUCAAGAUGUGAUAUGAAGUCAAUAAGUCAAGCCAAGCAAUAGGUCUUUAGUCAA